CACCGCGGUUAUACGAGCGACCCAAGCUGAUAGUCAACGGCGUAAAGAGUGGUUAGGCAAAACCCUAUAACUAAAGCCGAACGCCCCCAGAGCUGUUAUACGCAUCCGGAGGUACGAAGAACCAUCACGAAAGUGGCUUUACCCCUGCCCGAACCCACGAAAGCUAUGCAAA
rnacentral:rRNA from 1 species